rnacentral:misc_RNA from 1 species
GCUGGAUCCCCUCCUUUCUAAGGUUGAUCGAGAUUGAAUCACGUCAUUUGGCGUGGUUAUCCCGGUCACUUGGAGCAACGCGCUUUCUCAAGGCGCACAACUCCGGCUUCCGCCGUCUUCGCAUCUCUUUCAUCGCACUGUUGUCGGUGGGGUUCGAUGGGACGACCCUUGGGGAAUUCUUCAAGGUCUCCGAUCGACGGCCCUCCUGGUGAGGCUGGCGUCCCGAUGGGGACAUGUUCGGUGCUUGACGGCAUCGGAUGGCUGGGCGAUAUCCCGACCGGGUCGCGAAGGGCCUGUAGCUCAGUUGGUUAGAGCGCACGCCUGAUAAGCGUGAGGUCGGUAGUUCAAAUCUACCCAGGCCCACCAUUCCUUCGCGGGGCUCGCAUGCGAUUCCGCCGUGGGGUCGGGGGCGUAGCUCAGUUGGGAGAGCGCCUGCUUUGCAAGCAGGAGGUCAUCGGUUCGAUCCCGUUCGCCUCCACCAAAUUCAUGACGACAGUGCGAUAGACCGGAAGUCCCCGUGCUUCAAGCACGGCGGAUUGGCGGAGCGACAAGCUCCGCCGUUCUUCGACAUCGUGAAUCGGAAAUGACACCGCUGACUAGUAUCUGCAUCUAGAGAAAAAUCGCGAUCCGUCUUGGAUUGCUCUCUGUGCAUGAUGGCGACAGUCACACAAGUAACGUAAGGGCAUUUGGUGGAUGCCUUGGCGUCGAGAGGCGAUGAAGGACGUGGCAUGCUGCGAAAAGCCACGGGGAGCCGCAAGCAGGCUUUGAUCCGUGGAUAUCCGAAUGGGGAAACCCGGAAGC